UAGGGAAUCUUCCACAAUGGGCGAAAGCCUGAUGGAGCAACGCCGCGUGUGUGAUGAAGGGUUUCGGCUCGUAAAACACUGUUGUUAGAGAAGAAUGACAUUGAGAGUAACUGUUCAAUGUGUGACGGUAUCUUACCAGAAAGGAACGGCUAAAUACGUGCAAG
rnacentral:rRNA from 1 species